UGCCAGACUCCUACGGGAGGCAGCAGUGGGGAAUAUUGCACAAUGGGCGAAAGCCUGAUGCAGCAACGCCGCGUGAAGGAAGACGGUUUUCGGAUUGUAAACUUCUAUCAAUAGGGAAGAAAGAAAUGACGGUACCUAAAUAAGAAGCCCCGGCUAACUCCGUGCCAGCAGCCGCGGUAAUACGGAGGAUGCGAGCGUUAUCCGGAUUUAUUGGGUUUAAAGGGUGCGUAGGCGGGCUGUUAAGUCAGCGGUAAAAUGUCGGGGCUCAACCCCGGCCUGCCGUUGAAACUGGCGGCCUCGAGUGGGCGAGAAGUAUGCGGAAUGCGUGGUGUAGCGGUGAAAUGCAUAGAUAUCACGCAGAACUCCGAUUGCGAAGGCAGCAUACCGGCGCCCUACUGACGCUGAGGCACGAAAGCGUGGGUAUCGAACAGGAUUAGAUACCCCCGUAC
rnacentral:rRNA from 1 species